rnacentral:rRNA from 1 species
UACAGAGACUGCGAGCGUUAAUCGGAAUUACUGGGCGUAAAGCGUGCGCAGGCGGCUCUAUAAGACAGAUGUGAAAUCCCCGGGCUCAACCUGGGAACUGCAUUGGUGACUGGCAAGCUAGAGUGUGGCAGAGGGGGGUAGAAUUCCACGUGUAGCAGUGAAAUGCGUAGAGAUGUGGAGGAAUACCGAUGGCGAAGGCAGCCACCUGGGCCAACACUGACGCUCAUGCACGAAAGCGUGGGGAGCAAACAGG